UUCAAAGAAUUAUUCCAAAUACGUUUAAAAAGAUGCCUUCCCCUUUAAUAUGGGUACAGAAACUUGCAUCUCCCUGACACCCCCAUGGGCAUUCCUGUUUUGAAUACGAACUAUCAUAAUCCUGUAAAUAGUUGGAAUAAAUGAAGGAAAAGCGCUAAAUAAAGGAAAAUGGUAACCUUGAUGAUCGCCAAGGCAGGGAGAGCGAUGUCUGUUCCUCAAACAUACUACAUAUGAUCAGAAUUUCGUAGGGAUCGACUCGUCGAUAAGUGCUCGUAUCUUAUUUUUGGACUGAAUUAUUUUUGUGGUACAUUUUUACAGUAUAAUAGAUGGAUUUUUAGUGUUUUUUCUGAGAUUAAAUGUCCGGAAUUGAGGUGUUUCUUUCUUUUUCGAGACGAACUAGAGCCUUGACUGAACUCCUAAAUGUAGAUAUAGAUGUACUGUUAUUCUGAACUUUUAUCAUUGUUGCUAAGCAGAAGAUUUUUAAACCUAAAGCAGGU